GACGAACGCUGGCGGCGUGCUUAACACAUGCAAGUCGAACGAAGAGCGACGGAAGCUUGCUUCUAUCAAUCUUAGUGGCGAACGGGUGAGUAACGCGUAAUCAACCUGCCCUUCAGAGGGGGACAACAGUUGGAAACGACUGCUAAUACCGCAUACGAUCUAACCUCGGCAUCGAGGAUAGAUGAAAGGUGGCCUCUACAUGUAAGCUAUCACUGAAGGAGGGGAUUGCGUCUGAUUAGCUAGUUGGAGGGGUAACGGCCCACCAAGGCGAUGAUCAGUAGCCGGUCUGGAAGGAUGAACGGCCACAUUGGGACUGGGACACGGCCCAGACUCCUACGGGAGGCAGCAGUGGGGAAUCUUCCGCAAUGGACGAAAGUCUGACGGAGCAACGCCGCGUGAGUGAUGACGGCCUUCGGGUUGUAAAGCUCUGUUAAUCGGGACGAAAGGCCUUCUUGCGAAUAGUGAGAAGGAUUGACGGUACCGGAAUAGAAAGCCACGGCUAACUACGUG
rnacentral:rRNA from 1 species